GCGUCACGUGGACGCUAUUCGCUGGCCCCGGCCUGUUGGCUUGUUCCGCGCUGGAGUAUCCAGAUAGGCGACAAGCCGGCGGGCGGCUGAGGCGGGAAUGGCUGCUGUACUGCAGCGCGUCGAGCGGCUGUCCAAUCGAGUCGUGCGUGUGUUGGGCUGUAACCCGGGUCCCAUGACCCUCCAGGGCACCAACACCUACCUAGUGGGGACCGGCCCCAGGAGAAUCCUCAUUGACACUGGAGAACCAGCAAUUCCAGAAUAUAUCAGCUGUUUAAAGCAGGCUCUAACUGAAUUUAACACAGCAAUCCAGGAAAUUGUAGUGACUCACUGGCACCAAGAUCAUUCUGGAGGCAUAGGAGAUAUUUGUAAAAGCAUCAGUAAUGACACUACCUAUUGCAUUAAAAAACUCCCACGGAAUCCUCAGAGAGAAGAAAUUAUAGGAAAUGGAGAGCAACAAUAUGUUUAUCUGAAAGAUGGAGAUAUGAUUAAGACUGAGGGAGCAACUCUAAGAGUUCUAUAUACACCUGGCCACACUGACGAUCAUAUGGCUCUACUCUUAGAAGAGGAAAAUGCUAUCUUUUCUGGAGAUUGCAUCCUAGGGGAAGGAACAACGGUAUUUGAAGACCUCUAUGACUAUAUGAACUCUUUAAAAGAGUUACUGAAAAUCAAAGCUGAUAUUAUAUAUCCAGGACAUGGCCCAGUAAUUCAUAAUGCUGAAGCUAAAAUUCAACAAUACAUUUCUCACAGAAAUAUUCGAGAGCAGCAAAUUCUUACAUUAUUUCGUGAGAACUUUGAGAAAUCAUUUACAGUAAUGGAGCUUGUAAAAAUUAUUUACAAGAAUACUCCUGAGAAUUUACAUGAAAUGGCUAAACGUAAUCUCUUACUUCAUUUGAAAAAACUAGAAAAAGAGGGAAAAAUAUUUAGCAACACGGAUCCUGACAAGAAAUGGAAAGCUCAUCUUUAGUUUCAGAUUAAAGAAAGCUUUGUUUUAUUUUGCUUUGAGAGAAUGACAAUCACUUUACCUUCCGUUCAGAACACCCGGAAGUUUUGGCUGACUCAUUUUCUGUUUAUUCAAGUUUCCAAAGCCUGCUUGUUGUCACCUCUGCCUUCUCUCUGCAUAUCUUCAGCCUCUGUUUGGCAACUGAGUAGCCCUCUUCGUGUCUCAGGUAAGAGACCUCACAGUCAACUGGGUUCUUCACAUGAUGAAGGUCAUGGACAUGGUUAUGGGAGCUCUGGGCUCAUGUUACUUGUUUUUUUUUUUUUGGAGACAGGAUCUUGCUGUAUCACCCAGGCUGGAGUGCAGUCCCACAAACACGGCUCACUGCAACCUCCACCUCCCAGGCUUGAGUGAUCCUCCUGCCUUAACUUCCCCAGUAGCUGGGACCACAGAUGCAGGCUACCAUGCCUGGCUAAUUUUUAUUUAUUUUUUUUUUGUAAAGAUAAAGUCUUGCCAUGUUGCCCAGGCUGGUCUUGAACUGAGCUCAAGCAAUCCUCCUGCUUCAGUCUCCCAAAGUGCUGGGAUUACAGUCAUGAGCCACCAUUCCUGGCCUCUAGGCUCAUAUUCUCACCACUGUAUAACCAGCAGAAAAAGCUGGUUUGUCUAGCUUCGAGAUGAAAAAUCCUAGGGGAAGAAUUCAGUGAUUUAUACUGGCUCAUUACCCAUUCCUUAGACCAGUCCCUGUGGUCAAGGAAACAUUAGGUACUGUAUUUAGCCCAGCUACCCCAGUGGCUGGAGUAAGCAAAGUCUGUUCCCAGAAGAAGACUGUCACAGCAAGAUUCUGGACGAAUAUAGUUACCUUACUAAAUAACUUUGCUUUCUUUCCAAUUUGUGUAAAAUAUAUAAUAAAUACAUCCAAUUUUUCUGCA